ensembl:lncRNA
AUUGUUCCGAUGUACCCGCGCAUGGGGUGUGUGUUCCUGCUGUCCAUGUACGUAACGUCCUCGUCUCCCCCCCAUAGCCCCUCCCUCUGUCUCACCUGGUACCUCCUGCUUCCAUAACAUUCCAGUCUGAAUGUUGUGUAUUUAGGACUGGGGGGCUACUAUUACUACCAAGUGUUGUAGACCUUCAAACAACAUUCUGUCGCAUGACCGCCUGUCGACCAAAGUCUUACACAACCUACAUGGCACAAGCACACAAUUGGUUGAAAUCCCCCCCCCUUCGCCAAGAUUGUAGUCAUCGUUGUCGAUUUGAGUAUUAUAUUUUACACAGUGCCAGGCGGGUUUGCUUCAGAAAGGGCUAAAAAAAAAAAAUGUAAAAAAAAACCAAACAAAAUAGCAGCUUGUGUUGCUGGGAGUUUGCAGCGUGGUUGUUUGUGCGCGUUUUCUCUUUGUCUCGACUCUAUUCUGCUGAUGAAUGGAGCUUCAGCUAGGUGUAGAAGUGCCCUUAUCCUGUUCCUCACGCUCUUGUCCAGCCGCUGUCUUGACAGGCCGCUCGUCUCUCGUGUCGGCUGUAACCGGGAUACACGUAAACACUGGAGUUCGCUCAAGCUGCAGUACCCUUUUGUUUGUUUCCAGCACAAACAGUGCUCGCUUCAGGACUGCUGUUCCACAGUGGACUGUUACACCCACGUUCUUCAGAUGGCUGGGGGGGGGGGAGUAACUGGUAGACAUACGGUCGGACUUUUAGGAUUUCAUUUUGCCCGUCUUUCCAGUUGGUUUCUAGGUUGCGCCGUACAAGGACUCCCAAAGCGCUGCGCGGUGCAUUUCUGUUAAACACAAGUAAACCAUGACCAAUAUGCAAGAGGAACGGCAAAACACACUACUGCUGCACGGGGGGGCUUUUUCCUUUGUGUUCAUACAUGUAAUCACUGAGAUGACAAAACUGGCAUCGUUGGAUCUGUAUUUUGAUUUAAGCUUGAUAAUACCUUAAUAUCCUGGUCAGUUGUGUUUUUUGUUUUUGUUUUUUUUCAUUGGACAGUUGUAAUAUUUGAAGUUGUGGUCUGUGAAGUCAAAAUAAUUCUUCAUGUAGUGCAGGAAAAUGCGUCUUAAAAUUCAUUUGUAAUUUAUUGGAUUACUUUCUAUGAAGUUCUAUAGAGGAGAUUUGAGGUUUAAUUAUUUUUAUUAAACAUAUUCUUCUGACUAUCAAUUGGGUUUGCCUUUGCCUGUUGCGUUGUCUGGGGCCUUACUCAACAAAUCAUCAGUGUCGG